UUGGCUUUGCCGUGACUGUUAUUUUUCGCGUUAGUACUGACAAACGGCACGCUCGAGAUGGGGGUGGGGGGACGUAGGGAGAAUAACCCUAAGUAGCACUUUCACAGCAGCAACAGCCUAAGGAUGGUGUGGUUCACAUCCCCCAAAGCAACGCGGGUUAGCCUCCUGCCCCCCGCUGGUCCCUCAGAUCUGUUUGUUGUUAUGAGAGAAAAUUGGAUGAAGACUCUGCAAGUCAGGAUUGUUUGUGUGCAAGUCACUGGGCUGCUCGCCCUUUGCAGUUCAUGGCCCAUGAUGUGCCCUCAGCCACCUCUGUCAUCUCCAGCUGAAUAACAGAAGCCUUCCAAUAGGUCCUUAAAGAGAGGUCAAGCCCUGAAAUGCUCACACCUGCGUUUGCAGUCAGGCACCUCAGUGCUCUGCUGAUCAGGAUGCGGUCAUUCUGUUUCCUGCUGCGAUAGAAGUGCUUGUGUAUUUCAGUGGUCACACACCACUGAUGGUUGCAGCAGUGAGGGAGUAUGUAAGGAAGACCUGAGAAUAUGUGUGUAUAAUUCCAUGGAGGUGAUGGAUACUUUAAAGAAAAAAAAAAAAAAAUCUAAGUUC